rnacentral:rRNA from 1 species
CCUACGGGAGGCAGCAGUGGGGGAUAUUGCACAAUGGGGGAAACCCUGAUGCAGCGACGCCGCGUGGGUGAAGAAGCGCCUCGGCGCGUAAAGCCCUGUCAGCAGGGAAGAAAAUGACGGUACCUGAAGAAGAAGCCACGGCUAACUACGUGCCAGCAGCCGCGGUAAUACGUAGGGGGCAAGCGUUAUCCGGAUUUACUGGGUGUAAAGGGGGCGCAGACGGCGAUGCAAGCCAGGAGUGAAAGCCCGGGGCCCAACCCCGGGACUGCUAUUGGAACUGCGUGGCUAGAGUGCAGGAGGGGCAGGCGGAAUUCGUGGUGUAGCGGUGAAAUGCGUAGAUAUCAGGAGGAACACCGGUGGCGAAGGCGGCCUGCUGGACUGCAACUGACGUUGAGGCCCGAAAGCGUGGGGAGCAAACAGGAGUAGAUACCCGAGUAGUC